AUUGAACGCUGGCGGCAGGCCUAACACAUGCAAGUCGAGCGAGCGACGGACGGGGGAGUAAUGUCGGGGAAACUGCCGGAUGGAGGGGGAUAACCACUGGAAACGGUAGCUAAUACCGCAUACCAUGAGAUGUGGCCAGAGGGGAUUAGCUAGUGGGGGGGGUAAUGGCUCACCUAGGCUACGAUCCCUAGCUGGUCUGAGAGGAUGACCAGCCACACUGGAACUGAGACACGGUCCAGACGCCUACGGGAGGCAGCAGUGGGGAAUAUUGCACAAUGGGCGCAAGCCUGAUGCAGCCAUGCCGCGUUUGUGAAGAAGGCCUUCGGGUUGUAAAGCACUUUCAGCGGGGAGGCGUUACCCGCAGAAAAAGCACCGGCUAACUACGUGCCAGCAGCCGCGGUAAUAC
rnacentral:rRNA from 1 species